rnacentral:lncRNA from 1 species
UGUAGAUAUAGUAUUCAUACGUUUUUGCUUUGAGGUAAUAUUUAUGAUUUUCUCCUGUAACAACACAUGGACAUGUUUGCUAGUUUCUAAAAAACGUUAUCAAGGCCCAGCAGAGGACGAGGUCGUCCUCAACUUCUCUUGGAGUUCCAGAUCACCUCCACAGGCCAUGGCAGCGUGAUCCCCGCGUCGCGGUGCAACUUUUCUUCCUAUCCUCCCGCGAAACCUUCCUUCCCUUCGAAGCCUUCCUUUCCCGCUCCUCCCCAUCACUAAGAGGCCUUAAUGGCCGAGAUUGCUGUCGCGAAAAAUCCGGCCAUGAAUGGAAUUGCACGCCCAUGCCACCACGCUCUCGGUCCUCCCCGCCCCUAUAUAAAGACCCAAGGUAGCUCUAGUUCCACUCGAUCGAUUUUUCCGCUUUGGAGUCCAAACCAUCCUCCCAAUCCAGAGCAAUAAAUCGUCGGAGUUCGUCAAGCCGACGACCUUUCCACGUCGAUCGCGGCUCGGACCAACCGUGAGACAACCUUCUCCGAGGUUGCCGAGACCUCCUCCUCCAUGUCCCUUACUCUCCCUUCACAGGGGACCACCCCAUCGCCGGAUACGAGCUCCCCACUGUCAUCUUCCCCAAGUCCGACGACUAACUCCGGUGAGAUUAAAAAAAAACCUGUAAUUCCUUUUUUUUCAAAAAAAUAGCAAUCUUAGAAAAAUUAUAUCUCCUAGUCUAUAGAUUCAAAUUAAGUGAUUACAAUUGCCUUAGAUCACAAAUUUUAAGUAGUUUCCGUAGAUCCAAAAAGUCUUCUUGUUUGAAAAUUUUAUAUUUGAAUUUGAAUAGAUUUUAUGCAAACACAAUUUUUCUAUUAUCUUUUAAAU